rnacentral:rRNA from 1 species
ACCGAGAUUCCCCCAGUAGCGGCGAGCGAACGGGGAGCAGCCCAGAGUCUGAAUCAGCUUGUGUGUUAGUGGAACGGUCUGGAAAGUCCGACGGUACAGGGUGAUAGUCCCGUACACCAAAAUGCACAGGUUGUGAACUCGAAGAGUAGGGCGGGACACGUGGUAUCCUGUCUGAAUAUGGGGGGACCAUCCUCCAAGGCUAAAUACUCCUGACUGACCGAUAGUGAACCAGUACCGUGAGGGAAAGGCGAAAAGAACCCCGGCGAGGGGAGUGAAAAAGAACCUGAAACCGUGU